AGGAAAAUGAGAGCACCCCUAAACAUUUUUUAAGAAAAAAGCACUGCACGCAUACACACACACAGUGCUUUUUUCUAAAAAAUGUUUAGGGGUACUCUCAUUUCCCU